AGUGCUUGCACUCAAUUGGAAAGAGGAGUGGCGGACGGGUGAGUAACACGUGGGUAACCUACCCAUCAGAGGGGGAUAACACUUGGAAACAGGUGCUAAUACCGCAUAACAGUUUAUGCCGCAUGGCAUAAGAGUGAAAGGCGCUUUCGGGUGUCGCUGAUGGAUGGACCCGCGGUGCAUUAGCUAGUUGGUGAGGUAACGGCUCACCAAGGCCACGAUGCAUAGCCGACCUGAGAGGGUGAUCGGCCACACUGGGACUGAGACACGGCCCAGACUCCUACGGGAGGCAGCAGUAGGGAAUCUUCGGCAAUGGACGAAAGUCUGACCGAGCAACGCCGCGUGAGUGAAGAAGGUUUUCGGAUCGUAAAACUCUGUUGUUAGAGAAGAACAAGGACGUUAGUAACUGAACGUCCCCUGACGGUAUCUAACCAGAAAGCCACGGCUAACUACGUGCCAGCAGCCGCGGUAAUACGUAGGUGGCAAGCGUUGUCCGGAUUUAUUGGGCGUAAAGCGAGCGCAGGCGGUUUCUUAAGUCUGAUGUGAAAGCCCCCGGCUCAACCGGGGAGGGUCAUUGGAAACUGGG
rnacentral:rRNA from 1 species